rnacentral:rRNA from 1 species
UUAUAAAAAUUUAAAAUAAUUACUAAAAAAUUAAUAGUUAUGUUCUUUAAAUUUAAAAAAUUUGGCGGUAUUUUAUUCUUAUCAGAGGAACCUGUUUUUUAAUUGAUAAUCCACGAUUAAUUUUACUUAUUUUUAAAAUUCAUAUAUCGCUGUCAAUGAAUAUAUUAAAAAAUUUAUUUUCUUUAAUUAUUAUUUUAAUUUAUGUUAAGUCAAGAUGUGGUUUAUAAAUAAGAUUAAAUGGGUUACAAUAAAUUUAAUUUUUGAAUUAAAUUUGAAAUGUAUUUUAUUGAAAUUGGAUUUGAAAGUAAUUUGAAUUAUAUAAUUUAUUUGAAUAUAGAUCUAAAAUAUGUACAUAUUGCCCGUCAUUCUUAUUAAAUAUAAGACAAGUCGUAACAAAGUAAGUGUACUGGAAAGUGUAUUUAGAAAGU